AGGAGGUUUUGCUUCUCUUGCACAGAUGUCGCUUGCACUUCAGUUGCGUGGUUGCCAAACGUUAUAUCGAAAUAUAUUUCAUUUCAUUAUGAAUAUAUAAAAUUAAAGGUAUACCAAAUUAAAAAUGAUGUAAUUUAUAAACAUGAAAUAGAUAUGUUAAAUUAAUAUAUAAAUAUUUAACUUAAUACGUUCAUUAUUAUUUUAUUAAUUUAUCGUCACACGUCAUUUACCAGUUGCCUAAUUACGAAAAGUUUCAUAUGACAUUAACCUCAAAAAUGAUCUUUGAAAACAAACAACAAACAGAGCAACAAAUGAUCAAAUAACUACAUAAUGACUGAUAAUGAUAAGUGAUAAUAAUAACUUUAAUGAUAUGAAGGCUGAUGAAGUUUUAGACAACCAAUACAAGAUAUUAGAACUUGACAUCGUUAUAAACAAAUUGUACAUUCAGGAACUCGUUUAAAUAUUAUAGGUUGAUUGACGAAUACUCUACAGUUGAUUAGAGCCCAUGAUGAUGCGAAGAUAAUUAAUAUCACCUAACUUCAAGAAACCAGCAUAAAGAAGUUUACAUUCAUAACUCAUCUAACCAUUAUAGAUCAGUAAUGUCGUCAUAAUUUAAAUGAACUCACAGAUAGCAAUGGGGCACUGCACCGAAGCAGUAUUACAAAAUAUGUGAAAUAAAACUGUAAUACAAAUUGCUCUAUAAAAUUUAAUAGAAAUAAAUUUAUUUAUGAAAAUUAAGU